AUUGAACGCUGGCGGCAGGCCUAACACAUGCAAGUCGAACGAGUGGCGGACGGGUGAGUAAUGUCUGGGAAACUGCCCGAUGGAGGGGGAUAACUACUGGAAACGGUAGCUAAUACCGCAUACCAUCGGAUGUGCCCAGAUGGGAUUAGCUCGUGGGUGGGGUAACGGCUCACCUAGGCGACGAUCCCUAGCUGGUCUGAGAGGAUGACCAGCCACACUGGAACUGAGACACGGUCCAGACUCUUACGGGAGGCAGCAGUGGGGAAUUUUGGAAAAUGGGCGCAAGCCUGAUACAGCAAUGCCGCGUGUAUGAUGAAGGCCUUCGGUUGGUAAAGUACUUUCAUCGAGGAGGCGUUACUCGAAGAAGAAGCACCGGCUAACUCCGUGCCAGCAGCCGCGGUAAUUC
rnacentral:rRNA from 1 species